ACUACGGGUGGCAGCAGUGAGGAAUAUUGGUCAAUGGGCGUAAGCCUGAACCAGCCACGCCGCGUGCGGGAUGAAGGCUCUAUGGUUCGUAAACCUCUUUUGUAAGGGGAUAAAGUCCGGGACGCGUCUCGCUCUGCACGUAUCUUACGAAUAAGGAUCGGCUAACUCCGUGCCAGCAGCCGCGGUAAUACGGAGGAUCCGAGCGUUAUCCGGAUUUAUUGGGUUUAAAGGGUGCGUAGGCGGCCUAUUAAGUUAGCGGGGAAAUUCCGGGGCUAAACCUUUGAAUUGCCGUUGAAACUGGGGGGCUUGAGAAUGUUUGAGGUAGGCGGAAUGCGUGGUGUAGCGGUGAAAUGCAUAGAUAUCACGCAGAACCCCGAUUGCGAAGGCAGCCUGCCGGGGCAUGACUGACGCUGAUGCACGAAAGCGUGGGGAUCGAACAGGAUUAGAUACCCUAGUAGUC
rnacentral:rRNA from 1 species